rnacentral:tRNA from 1 species
GUGGCCUAAUGGUUAAGGCGCUGGUUUUCGGUCUAGAAUUACACCAGAGAUUGGGAGUUCGAAUCUUCCC